CUACGUGCCAGCAGCCGCGGUAAUACGUAGGUGGCAAGCGUUGUCCGGAAUUAUUGGGCGUAAAGCGCGCGCAGGCGGAUUGGUCAGUCUGUCUUAAAAGCUCGGGGCUUAACCCCGUGAUGGGAUGGAAACUGCCAAUCUAGAGUAUCGGAGAGGAAAGUGGAAUUCCUAGUGUAGCGGUGAAAUGCGUAGAUAUUAGGAAGAACACCAGUGGCGAAGGCGACUUUCUGGACGAAAACUGACGCUGAGGCGCGAAAGCCAGGGGAGCGAACGGGAUUAGAUACCCCGGUAGUCCUGGCCGUAAACGAUGGGUACUAGGUGUAGGAGGUAUCGACCCCUUCUGUGCCGGAGUUAACGCAAUAAGUACCCCGCCUGGGGAGUACGACCGCAAGGUUGAAACUCAAAGGAAUUGACGGGGGCCCGCACAAGCGGUGGAGUAUGUGGUUUAAUUCGACGCAACGCGAAGAACCUUACCAGGUCUUGACAUUGAUGGACAGAACUAGAGAUAG
rnacentral:rRNA from 1 species